rnacentral:rRNA from 1 species
GACGAACGCUGGCGGCGUGCCUAACACAUGCAAGUCGAACGAGGUCCAUCCAGUAGCAAUACUGGGGAAGACCUAGUGGCGAACGGGUGAGUAACACGUGAGGAACCUGCCCCGAAGACCGGGAUACGCUCCGAAAGGAACGCUAAUACCGGAUACCUUCACCAGACCGCAUGAUCCGGUGAAGGAAUGGAUUCCGCUUCGGGAGGGCCUCGCGGCCUAUCAGCUUGUUGGUGGGGUAAUGGCCCACCAAGGCUUCGACGGGUAGCUGGUCUGAGAGGACGAUCAGCCACACUGGGACUGAGACACGGCCCAGACUCCUACGGGAGGCAGCAGUGGGGAAUCUUGCGCAAUGGGCGAAAGCCUGACGCAGCAACGCCGCGUGGGGGAUGAAGGCUCUCGGGUCGUAAACCCCUUUCAGCAGGGACGAAACUGACGGUACCUGCAGAAGAAGCCCCGGCCAACUACGUGCCAGCAGCCGCGGUAACACGUAGGGGGCAAGCGUUGUCCGGAUUUAGUU